GCCUUUGUGCUGUAAGGUCAGUAUGCUCGGCCUGUAUUCAAGAGGUCCGAGGUUCAAGUCCCUGCAAGGGCA
rnacentral:tRNA from 1 species